AUUGAACGCUGGCGGCAGGCCUAACACAUGCAAGUCGAACGGUAACAGGAAGCAGCUUGCUGCUUUUCUGACGAGUGGCGGACGGGUGAGUAAUGUCUGGGAAACUGCCCGAUGGAGGGGGAUAACUACUGGAAACGGUAGCUAAUACCGCAUAACGUCGCAAGACCAAAGAGGGGGACCUUAGGGCCUCUUGCCAUCGGAUGUUCCCAGAUGGGAUUAGCUAGUAGGUGGGGUAACGGCUCACCUAGGCGACGAUCCCUAGCUGGUCUGAGAGGAUGACAGGCCACACGGGAACUGAGAAACGGUCCAGACUCCUAAGGGAGGCAGCAGUGGGGAAUAUUGCACAAUGGGCGCAAGCCUGAUGCAGCCAUGCCGCGUGUAUGAAGAAGGCCUUCGGGUUGUAAAGUACUUUCAGCGGGGAGGAAGGGAGUAAAGUUAAUACCUUUGCUCAUUGACGUUACCCGCAGAAGAAGCACCGGCUAACUCCGUG
rnacentral:rRNA from 1 species